AGACCCCGUGAACCUUUACUAUAGCUUGACACUGAACACUGGUCCUUGAUGUGUAGGAUAGGUGGGAGGCUUUGAAGCGUGGACGCCAGUCUGCGUGGAGCCGACCUUGAAAUACCACCCUUUAAUGGCUGGUGUUCUAACGUAGACCCGUAAUCCGGGUUGCGGACAGUGUCUGGUGGGUAGUUUGACUGGGGCGGUCUCCUCCC
rnacentral:rRNA from 1 species